rnacentral:rRNA from 1 species
UACGGGGGGAGCAAGCGUUGUUCGGAUUUACUGGGCGUAAAGGGCGCGUAGGCGGUCAGCACAAGUCAGUUGUGAAAUCUCCGAGCUUAACUCGGAAAGGUCAACUGAAACUGUGCGACUAGAGUGCGGAAGGGGCAACUGGAAUUCUUGGUGUAGCGGUGAAAUGCGUAGAUAUCAAGAGGAACACCUGCGGCGAAGGCGGGUUGCUGGGCCGAUACUGACGCUGAGGCACGAAAGCGUGGGGAGCAAACAGG